UACAGAGGGUGCAAGCGUUAAUCGGAAUUACUGGGCGUAAAGGGUGCGUAGGUGGAUACGUAAGUCAGAUGUGAAAUCCCCGGGCUUAACCUGGGAACUGCAUUUGAUACUGCGGAUCUAGAGUAUGGUAGAGGUAAGUGGAAUUUCCGGUGUAGCGGUGAAAUGCGUAGAUAUCGGAAGGAACAUCAGUGGCGAAGGCGACUUACUGGACUGAUACUGACACUGAGGCACGAAAGCGUGGGGAGCAAACAGG
rnacentral:rRNA from 1 species